rnacentral:rRNA from 1 species
CACGUAGGGCGCGAGCGUUGUCCGGAAUUAUUGGGCGUAAAGAGCUCGUAGGCGGCCUGUUGCGUCCGCUGUGAAAGCCCGGGGCUUAACCCCGGGUCGGCAGUGGAUACGGGCAGGCUAGAGGCAGGUAGGGGAGAAUGGAAUUCCCGGUGUAGCGGUGAAAUGCGCAGAUAUCGGGAGGAACACCGGUGGCGAAGGCGGUUCUCUGGGCCUUACCUGACGCUGAGGAGCGAAAGCGUGGGGAGCGAACAGG